rnacentral:lncRNA from 1 species
CAUCAACUCCUCUCUCUUCCAUGGCGGCUCCAUCACUAGUUUCAUUAAAAGCUCCAAGAUGACUACUUUGGAUGUUCUACAGACUAUGUAGUGCCUAAGGACUAUCUUUAACAACUAGCAAAGCAAUUAAAAUAACUCCAAACCAGGAUAACCCAAUGAAUUAGUGCAAAUUCUCCAAAACCAGAUCGAGAUUCACUAGGUGCUUGCAGAAUGAGGAAAAGGAUAAGCACUGGUAUAAAAAUGCUUAACUUUAGUUCAAUCCAACUAAAUGGUGUCAACUCUAAUAACUUCCAUCCACUUCAUACAUCUUAUUCAACAUUUAUUUUUUAUCUAGAGCAUUAAAGAAUCUAAAGUACAGUAAGACUCCGCUGACAGUUUAAUUACAACUAACUCCCAGCAAAGAGCCAAGAAAAAAGAAGAAAACUAAAAGGAGAACAAUACCAUAUCAACUGCCAACAUAGCAACAGAGGUCAAAACCCCGAGAGACAUUUGCAGUGAUUUAUGAAAUACAACAGGAAACUCCUAGAAAAUGAUGAGAGAGAUUAAAGCAUGAAAUCAACAAUAAGGAUGGUGCUUAGGAAAUAGAAGACUACCAACAGAAAGGAUUUAGGUUCAAUCUAGCAAAGCAUUUUGAGUAAUGCAACCACAAGUAAUAACCAGCGCCAGUAACUAUGAUAGCAAAAAACCACCAAGAAGAAUAACAUCGGAGAGAGCGCACCAGCGAGCAAAAUAGUUAGGGCUAGUGAUAACAGAGCUCAAACACAAAAAACAACAACUGUCAAUCUUCUGAAAUAAAAUGAUAAAUCUCUUUUGCUAUCUAACAAAUGUCAAAAUACUUCUGCAGACAAGAAUGAAAGCAGAAAUAAUCCCAAUACAUCCCAGUCCCAAAACAACUAUAAAAUCCAAUUCAUAGGAUACAUCAGAAACUAUAUAUUUACAAAAUCAUAAACUCUACAAAGAAAAUUAUCUUCCAUAAUCACAACUACCCAAAAUAAAAGAAUAAAAUUUGAUCAAGCAAUCACAUAAAUGACACACCUUUAAGAAAUAACAUAUAAUCAAUUUUACUAACCCACUCAUUACCCAUAAAAGAAAAAAAAAGAGAUGUACUUUUAGUCACUAAGUUCAGGUAAAAAAUUGAAGGAAAAAAUUCUGAUGGAAUUGAAUGGCGAACAGAAUUAAGGAAUGAAGUUCAUGCCCAAGGGUGAAAAACUGAUAGGUGAGAAAGAGUAUCGGAAAACAAUGAAACUGCUUCAUCAAAUCUGAUAAGUCAUUUCACUGCUAUAAAACGAAUAACGAUAGCACUGGAUUGCCAACUUAACAUAAACUAUAUACCUUAAAACUCAUGUACUACAUGAUAAUUGGAAAAUAUACCUUGUCUACUAGAUUUUUGCUUAUUUUCAGAGGGAGUGGGCAGGAUGUACCACUAGUAUGCUUCCAGGUUAAGAUGACAUAAACUUACAAAUACCAAGCUAUGCAAAUAAGGCUAAUAACAAAGAGUCAGAUGAAAAAGAAGAAUCAACAGCCUGUAAUAGUGUGAGAAAGGCAAAUGCUGGUGGAGCAAAUGCAGCAAAACAUAACAAUAAACACCAUAAAACUAAAAUUAUGCCUGCCAUAACUGACCAAUCAAGGCAAUUAUAACACCUAUAAAGGUUUAAUCCAGUAAUAAAUACUUCCAAACAUCAUCAACUCCUCUCUCUUCCAUGGCGGCUCUAUCACUAGUUUCAUUAAAAGCUUCAAGAUGACUACUUUGGAUGUUCUACAGACUAUGCAAAUCCCUAAGGAGUAUCUUUAACAACUAGCAAAGCAAUAAAAAUAACUCAGAACCAGGAUAACCCAAUGAAUUAGUGCAAAUUCUCCAAAACCAGAUCGAGAUUCACUAGGUGCUUGCAGAAUGAGGAAAAGGAUAAGCACUGGUAUAAAAAUGCUUAACUUUAGUUCAAUCCAACUAAAUGGUGUCAACUUUAAUAACUUCCAUCCACUUCAUACAUCUUAUUCAACAUUUAUUUUUUAUCUAGAGCAUUAAAGAAUCUAAAAUACAGUAAGACUCCACUGACAGUUUAAUUACAACUAACUCCCAGCAAAGAGCCCAGGAAAAAGAAGAAAACUAAAAGGAGAACAAUACCAUAUCAACUGAAAACAUAGCAACAGAGGUCAAAACCCCGAGAGACAUUUGCAGUGAUUUAUGAAAUACAACAGGAAACUCCUAGAAAAUGAUGAGAGAGAUUAAAGCAUGAAAUCAACAACAAGGAUUGUGCUUAGGAAAUAGAAGACUACCAACAGAAAGGAUUCAGGUUCAAUCUAGCAAAGCAUUUGAGUAAUGCAACCACAAGUAAUAACCAGCACCAGUAACUAUGAUAGCAAAAGACCACGAAGAAGAAUAACAUCGGAGAGAACGCAUCAGGGAGCAAAAUAGUUAGGGCUGGUGAUAACAGAGCUCAAACACAAAAAACAACAUCUGUCAAUCUUCUGAAAUAAAAUGACAAAUGUCUUUUGCUAUCUAACAGAUGUCAGAAUACUUCUGCAGACAAGAAUGAAAGCAGAAAUAAUCCCAAUACAUCCCAGUCCCAAAACAACUAUAAAAUCCAAUUCAUAGGAUACAUCAGAAACUAUAUAUUUACAAAAUCAUAAACUCUACAAAGAAAAUUAUCUUCCAUAAUCACAACUACCAAAAAUAAAAGAAUAAAAUUUGAUCAAGCAAUCACAUAAAUGACACACCUUUAAGAAAUAACAUAUAAUCAAU